rnacentral:rRNA from 1 species
GACGGAGGGUGCUAGCGUUGUUCGGAAUCACUGGGCGUAAAGGGCGCGUAGGCGGCUCAUGGUGUCGGAUGUGAAAGCCCGGGGCUCAACCCCGGAGGUGCAUCCGAGACUCAUGGGCUGGAGGUCGGAAGAGGAGGGUGGAAUACCCAGUGUAGAGGUGAAAUUCGUAGAUAUUGGGUGGAACACCGGUGGCGAAAGCGGCUCUCUGGUCCGAACCUGACGCUGAGGCGCGAAAGCGUGGGGAGCAAACAGG